rnacentral:rRNA from 1 species
ACUACUGUGUGUAAGGGUGCGUAGGUGAUAUGUCAGUCAAAAGUGAAAUCCUAUUCUAAAAUAGGAACUGCUUUGAUAGGCAUGUCUAGAGAUCAGGAAAGGGAAGCGGAACUCUGAGAGUAGCGGUGAAAUGCGUAGAUAUUCAGAGGAACUCCAGUGGCGAAGGCGGUUUUAUAUCCUGUUUCUGACGUUGAGGCACGAAAGCUAGGGGAGCGAUCGGGAUUAGAGACCCCGGUAGUCCUAGCCGUAAACGAUGGAUACUAAGUGUAGGGGGAGCAUUACCUUCUGUACUGAAGUUAACGCGUUAAGUAUCCCGCCUGGGGAGUACGGUCGCAAGACUGAAACUCAAAAGAAUUGACGGGGGGCUGAACAAGCAGUGGAGCACGUGGUUUAAUUCGACCAAAACGACGAACCUUACCAGGACUUGACAUGCUAGUAGUAGUAACCUGAAAAGGAAAUGAUCUUAGCCUUCGGUUAAGAAGCUAGUACAGGUGGUGCAUGGCUGUCGUCAGCUCGUGCCGUGAGGUGUUAGGUUAAGUCCUUUAACGAGCGCAACCCCUCUUAUUAGUUGUCAGCGGGUUAAGCCGGAUACUUUAAGAAGACUGCCGCUUUAAAGUGGAGGAAGAUGGGGAUUACGUCAAGUCAUCACGCCCCUUAUGUCUUGGGCUACACACGUGGUUCAAGGGGUGGAGCAAUGGGAAGCAACUUCGCGAGAAGGAGCAAAUCCUUAAAACCAGUCUCAGUUUGGAUAGUAGGCUGCAAUUCGCGUACAUAAAGUGGGAAUUGC